ACUUUCAUUUUUAUUAAUCGGAACGAACCGUCUCUUAUCAAUUGGAUUAAUAUCAGCUGAAAAUAUCUCGUGCAAAAGGUGUCACCAUUUUACAUUUGAUGAGAGGCUGCUGCGCAGUAAUAUAUUGCAACCCAUAGAAUAAAAAAGUACUCGUUAAGUUUUAAUAUCAUUGUGUUUUGCCAUUUAAAAAGAAAAAAUAGAAGAUGGUUUUACGACACCACGUAGAGGGAUACGAGAAUUUUGUCAAAUUUAUGAAAAAUUUCGUAUCUAAUGAAUCAGUCUACGUACUUUAUAGUGGUAAAAAACUUCCUAAUGGCAAAAGUUGGUGCCCAGACUGCGUAGAAGCGGAACCUUUCAUAGAAGAUGGGUUUAAAAGAGCUCCAGAAUCAGUACACUUGGUUGAAGUUGAAGUUGGAGAUCGGCCAUUUUGGAAGGAUUUGAAUUGUCCAUUUCGAACAAACUCUGUUACAAAGUUAAGAGUACUGCCAACCUUAGCAAAAUGGAAUACACAAAAACGUCUAGAAGGUGAUCAAUGUCAAAAGAUUGACUUGAUUGAAAUGUUACUUACUGAUGAAGAUGACUAAAUAAUUCACUUUCGUAUGCUACAGCAGUGAAACUUAAGAUGAGCAGCUCUAGAAUUGAAGAUAAUAAUCGAAUUGAUGACUUUCUACAUACAUAGAAAUAAAAGAUUCAGCGAAUGAUUGAAGCUUUAGGGAACACCAGUACCAUGAACGAUUAUUACCAGAGAUGCACAGAUACAUACAUCCCGUAUAGUUCAAAGAAAAUUUCUGUUUCUAUAAACGUUCUCUUAAUACGUAAGAAUUAAGCGGAUAAUCAAGACACGGAAUUGAGAAAUUUAAUUUCUAGUCUGCCUUAAGGGGAGAAAGAGAUUAUAGUUACAGCUAACAUAUUGCAAUAUCAAUAAAUCAAUUCUAUUCGAAGGAAGAAAGUAGUACGCAUUGAGAUAUUAGGAUCGUUUCGCAUUUUUAAACGUCGUUAAAUAUGGAAAUCGAUAAUGGCACAAUAUGGGUAGCGUUACAAGCAUCGAAUCGUGUAUCAAGUUCUCCAACGUUUUAUAAACCGAUGCAGGCACAAAACAAAAAAUUACAAUCACCAUCUUCGCGUAAGAGAAUUUAAGUUAUUAAAUUUACUAUUAAUAACGUUAAACUUUAAUUUAAUUAUUAAAUGAAAUAUACUUUCUUCGCUAAUUUGUUAAUGAUAAUUUUAUAUUUUUCAACUAUAAUAUUGUAACGAUAUAUAUGAAUAUAAAAAGAAAUCUGUACAAAAGUAGGUUCAUCAAUAUACAAGCAGGUAUGAAA